GUGAACGAUCGAUCAAAAUACGGUGGGUGAGUGCUUUCAUUCAUGGCAACUGAAGCUGAUAGUGUUAAAUACGCAUGUGAACUAGUCUCGAUAGAGGUUAUCAGCAUAGUUAUUAUCGAAGAAAUGCAUUGCACUUGAACUAGUGCAAUGAUGUCUCGUGCGGUUUGUCUAUAAAUAAGAAUGCGAAAUAGGUAUUUGCGUUAUUCGUUUGCGAAACAGUUCGAUUUCCGCGUUUGCAGGAUGAAGUUUGUACUAGGAUUUGUUGUUUUCCUUUUAACAGUUUUGCUGCCUUUCGGAUAUACUGGAACGGUCCAACCGUUGCGAAGACGAAGCCUAUCCAGUGAAGUGAUUUGCACGGGAUCGGGUUGUGCCUUUCCGAAAAAGGAUUACGGUUCGGUGGUGACCCCCUACGUUCCGACCAUGAAACCACGAGCUCGAUUCGUCAUUGUGCCACCGGUGCGGAUUGUGGCGUCCUCUGAUAAGAUAUGCGAGGAAAGGAAUAAUUACAACCAUUGACGGAUUCGAUUUAUAGAUGAUUUUCGCGAUUUUAGAGACAUAUCCAUAUCAACUUUUGAAUAGGGCUAGUGAGAGUUGAAAACAAACUUUUGUUUUGCUGAUUUCUCUUAAUUUGUUAUCAUUUCAACACAGAAAACAUUUGGAAUUGAUUCUACCUAGGGUAAAGAUGUUGAUUCAUGUGUAUUUUUCAUGAAAUUCAACUCGGUAGCGGAAUAAUGAGCGAAAUAAGUUUGUUUACAAAAAUCUCAUUAGCCAUUUUGUAGAAUUACUAUUGAUAUAUAAUGUAGGAAUGUCAGUUAUAGGAAUAGCACAUGUUAUAAGCAGAGAGAAUAAGACAGAACUGCAAUAACUGUUUUGUAAUAAUAUUGAAACUUCAAACUACCAAAUGGCUAUAUGGAUGAUUCAGUUAAGAAAAAUUCAUUUCAGUUUUAAGGAAUUUUUAAUACAAUAACGGGAAUAAGUUA